rnacentral:rRNA from 1 species
AACGAACGCUGGCGGCAUGCCUAACACAUGCAAGUCGAACGAGACCUUCGGGUCUAGUGGCGCACGGGUGCGUAACGCGUGGGAAUCUACCCUCAGGUUCGGAAUAACUCAGAGAAAUUUGAGCUGAUACCGGAUGAUGACGUAAGUCCAAAGAUUUAUCGCCUGAGGAUGAGCCCGCGUAGGAUUAGGUAGUUGGUGAGGUAAAGGCUCACCAAGCCGACGAUCCUUAGCUGGUCUGAGAGGAUGAUCAGCCACACUGGGACUGAGACACGGCCCAGACUCCUACGGGAGGCAGCAGUGGGGAAUAUUGGACAAUGGGCGAAAGCCUGAUCCAGCAAUGCCGCGUGAGUGAUGAAGGCCUUAGGGUUGUAAAGCUCUUUUACCCGGGAUGAUAAUGACAGUACCGGGAGAAUAAGCUCCGGCUAACUCCGUG